CGUUGUCCGGAUUUAUUGGGCGUAAAGCGAGCGCAGGCGGUUUAAUAAGUCUGAAGUUAAAGGCAGUGGCUUAACCAUUGUUCGCUUUGGAAACUGUUAAACUUGAGUGCAGAAGGGGAGAGUGGAAUUCCAUGUGUAGCGGUGAAAUGCGUAGAUAUAUGGAGGAACACCGGUGGCGAAAGCGGCUCUCUGGUCUGUAACUGACGCUGAGGCUCGAAAGCGUGGGGAGCAAACAGGAUUAGAUACCCUGGUAGUCCACGCCGUAAACGAUGAGUGCUAGGUGUUAGGCCCUUUCCGGGGCUUAGUGCCGCAGCUAACGCAUUAAGCACUCCGCCUGGGGAGUACGACCGCAAGGUUGAAACUCAAAGGAAUUGACGGGGGCCCGCACAAGCGGUGGGGCAUGUGGUUUAAUUCGAAGCAACGCGAAGAACCUUACCAGGUCUUGACAUCCCGAUGCUAUUUCUAGAGAUAGAAAGUUUCUUCGGAACAUCGGUGACAGGUGGUGCAUGGUUGUCGUCAGCUCGUGUCGUGAGAUGUUGGGUUAAGUCCCGCAACGAGCGCAACCCCUAUUGUUAGUUGCCAUCAUUUAGUUGGGCACUCUAGCGAGACUGCCGGUAAUAAACCGGAGGAAGGUGGGGAUGACGUCAAAUCAUCAUGCCCCUUAUGACCAGGGCUACACACGUGCUACAAUGGCGUAAACAAAGGGAAGCGAGCCCGCGAGGGGGAGCAAAUCCCAAAAAUAACGUCUCAGUUCGGAUUGUAGUCUGCAACUCGACUACAUGAAGCUGGAAUCGCUAGUAAUCGCGAAUCAGAAUGUCGCGGUGAAUACGUUCCCGGGUCUUGUACACACCGCCCGUCACACCAUGGGAGUCAGUAACGCCCGAAGUCAGUGACC
rnacentral:rRNA from 1 species